rnacentral:lncRNA from 1 species
GUGCCGGGGAGCAGAAAGUAUAUGUGUCAGGUAUGAGGAAGAAAAUCGAUUUUGGAAGUUAUGAGAAAUGUAGAGAGUGAGUUGAGCAUAGUUUGUGAUUUUGAGGGCCUCUAAAAGUAUUAAAGCAGCGGCAGCCGCUGCACGCGGACAUGAGGGCUAGGCUAAAACAGUAAGGUCAAGUUGUUUGGACAGAAAGGCUGCAGGAUGUGGUCCUGGCUCUUGUGUAAGAAUUCUGACCGCGCUAACCAUGCCUAGGAAGGAAAGGAGUUGUUGUUUUGUAGAAGGUGCUGGGGUUUGAGAGAUUAGUCGGACACGAUCGGCAGGGAGAGCACGUGUGUUUUUAUGAAGAAUUAUGCCGAGGUAGGUAACCGAUGGAGAAGAAAUUUGAGCUUUGGAGGGGGAUACUCGAUAUCCUUUGGAGAAUAAAUGCUGAAGGAGCAGAGGUGUGUCUUGUUGAGAAGAUUCAAAGGAGGGGCUACAAAGAAGAAGAUCAUCAAUAUAUUGAAUAAGGGAGGCUGUGAGGAUCUAGAGGAUACAGCUACGGAGAACAUGCUGGGUUCCUUGAGCUGCUAAGCACUGAAGUCCCACCAAUGGUGACGAAGGUCUAAGGAGAACAUUGCAAUUGCACAAAAUGAUCCUUGGAAAUUCUUUAGAAGGGCACCAUCUUGGAGACCCAGAAUCAAUAAAACCAGCAUGGCUGGGAGUUUUCUCCAGCAUUUGAAUAAAUUGUUGUUUCUUUGGUUGAACCAUGAUGAGAUAAUUGGCUUAAACCAGGAGUCAUGCAUGGUAUCUGGAAACUUCCUCACUUGAAUCACCAGCAUCAUACUCAGCAUGCAUAAUCCUCUCAUCAUGAGAGGCACAGGGGAAAUGAGCCAGCCUGUCUGGAAAGGAAGCAAAUGCAUGCUUUCCAUCUCCCACUCAGUACUGGACAUGAAGCUAUGUCAUCACCACUUAAUGCCAGCACCACUUAAAUGAUGUUUCUCUCUCUCUGCCCUGUACUUGCUGGAGGCACAUGCCCAUAUCACGUAGGGUGUCAGGGCAGAGAGCUCUUAGGAAGAGCUGAGCUGUGGGGACUUCCUCCCACGCAGAAGAGGGAGGCCUCUGCAGAAUUCUCUGCCAUGUGCUUCUAGGCUUCCUCAACUCAGAAAUUUUAUUAUAGAGUUUUAGAAUGUGAAGAGCUCUUGGAAAUCAUGAAAGAUGAAGAAUCAAGAUGGAAGUUUGAUGGCUUGUCCCAGGCCCCAGAGUGGACCCUUUGCUUUUUGGAAUCCAACAGCAAGGACUCAUGGGAAUAUCGUGGGAUUUGACUUGGAGAGACAGGGCUCAAACCUCAUCUUUGUCACUUAGUGAUUGUGUAAUUCUCUAAAAGUCUAUUUGUAGAAAAGGGAUAAGGGAGCUUUCUUUCCUGGAUUUCAAGAUGAUUAAAAGAGAUGUAUGUAUAAAGGGAUGCUCAGUUGUCUGAGCUGAGAUGACUGCAAAGUCACUGCACUCCUCUUACAAUGCCUGACAGGUGCUUCCAUCUUUGGGAGGUGUGGAGCCCUUGACAGGCACGUCAGCAGGGGGCAUUUGGGAGGGCAGCCUGCGAGGGUGAGGGGAUGCCAGUGGGCCAUACUGCAGAGGCAGAAACUUGGGGGAGGGGUCACAGGCGGUCAACUGAAGAAGGGGCUUGUGCCUGCAGAUGCUCCAAGAGGGGAGUCUAAGAGGAAUCCAGAAAAGUGUCCCCAAGAGAAAGAAUCUGACUUUAAUGUUAGCCGGACCCAGA